CACAGCGGACGUGAUGUAUACCACUCAUAUUUAGCGCAAUGAAUUUGAACGGCGCGCAAUUCGCCCUUAGAGUUUGAUCAUGGCUCAGGACGAACGCUGGCUGCGUGCUUAACACAUGCGGGUCUUAACGCGUGGAGCCCCAGCUUGCUGGGGUGGAUGAGUGGCGAACGGGUGAGUAACACGUGAGUAACCUGCCCCCGACUUCGGGAUAAGCCCGGGAAACUGGGUCUAAUACCGGAUAUGACUCUUCUAACGCAUGUUGGAGAGUGGAAAGUUUUUCGGUUGGGGCAUGGGCUCUUUUGCCUCAUCAGUUUGUUGGUGCAGGUAAUGGCUCACCAAGACGACGACGGGUAGCCGGCCUGAGAGGGCGACCGGCCACACUGGGACUGAGACACGGNCCAGACUCCUACGGGCAGGCAGCAGUGGGGAAUAUUGCACAAUGGGGGAAACCCUGAUGCAGCGACGCAGCGUGCGGGAUGACGGCCUUCGGGUUGUAAACCGCUUUCAGCAGGGAAGAAGCCCUUCGGGGUGACGGUACCUGCAGAAGAAGUACCGGCUAACUACGUGCCAGCAAGCCGCGGUAAUACGUAGGGUACAAGCGUUGUCCGGAAUUAUUGGGCGUAACGAGCUCGUAGGUGCGCUCUGGUCCAC
rnacentral:rRNA from 1 species